rnacentral:rRNA from 1 species
AUUGAACGCUGGCGGAAUGCUUUACACAUGCAAGUCGAACGGUAGAGGGGGCAACCCCUUGAGAGUGGCGAACGGGUGAGUAAUAUAUCGGAACGUGCCCAGUCGUGGGGAUAACGUAGCGAAAGCUACGCUAAUACCGCAUACGAUCUAUGGAUGAAAAGCGGGGGGAUCGCAAGACCUCGCGCGAUUGGAGCGGCCGAUAUCAGAUUAGGUAGUUGGUGAGGUAAAGGCUCACCAAGCCGACGAUCUGUAGCUGGUCUGAGAGGACGACCAGCCACACUGGGACUGAGACACGGCCCAGACUCCUACGGGAGGCAGCAGUGGGGAAUUUUGGACAAUGGGCGCAAGCCUGAUCCAGCAAUGCCGCGUGCAGGAUGAAGGCCUUC